AGGCGCGCGCUUAUUUCAACCCAGCAGGAAUUUAAAUACUCAGAUUAGGAAAUUCUAGUUUAAAUGAAAUGAUCUGAACAUGCUUUCGCGCACUGAGGAUCGCAAACCAACCACCCCGGAUCGCUUGCAGACGAUGGACGACUCCUUCAGCCACGACAGCGAGCAAUCAAAAAGUGAUCAGUUGUUCUGUGGUGAUAUCAAGUCCAUAAACGGCGGUUCAACAUUGGUAGUACACUCCUAUGGUACAGCCGACACCACACAACCCAACGAGACAGCAAACAACUCCAACAAUAACAAUUCCGUACGAAACAUACAACGCGUGGCGGAAAACGAUUGCGGAAACUCGAUCCCUAACUUUCUUACGUUCGUCAGUGACGUAACGCAAUCACGUGACAAAGAUAAUGACGUCAUCAAAGAUCUGGAUCGUCAAGCGCCAGGAGUUCAAAACUUUAAAGUUCACACGCUGUCGGUUGAUUCAGAAAAAAGCGGAAAUAAGACGAUAUUGCAGCAACUACAACAUGCAUUGGCAUGUGAGGACAACAAUACGAACCAACCCCACCACAAAAGGUACCCUUGCCAACCAAUUCUCAUGUGCCUGCCCUGCCGAGUUACCUUCGCCCGCCAUUCGUCCUUCGUUGAUCACGUCAUAAGGGAACAUGACGUCAUACCUAAUGAAGCGGAACGGACGCUACUCGCUCUAAGUCACGUGUCCGCAGUACUACAGAAAAUCACAGAGGAUCAAUCAAUGGUUUGUUUUUUGGAGCCUGUUACUUCCGCAGAAGAAAUAUCGGUUGUAAAAAUAAAUGACUUCGAAGAAAAUGAGAAUUUAGUUGAACACAAGGGAGAUAGUUAUAGCGGAACGAACAAGCUUGAAAGUUUAUCUCCCGGUGAAUCUGAAUCUGUAACUUCUAAGAACCCGAAGACAAGUAAGGAAGACUUGCCAUCCACCACUAACCCCAACAUUUCAGCCGGUUGUACCAACCCACCGACGACUCCAAGCGAUAAUGCGAAAAGUGAAUCUGCUUUGGAUCUUUCCCAUACCGUGACGUCAUCUCAAAGUAUCGCUACGUCAUCACGCAUCGUGAUGUCAUUCGCUGUCGCUUCUCCCACCCCCAUAAGCGUGCAUACGUCACCCUCUACGUCACGCAGUGAGCUGUUCAUUAACAGCGUAAUACGAGAUGUUCCAGAUUUCCACGACCAAAAGCGUUGUGACGUCACGGAGGGCACUGUGACGUCACUUUCCGGUGCCGGGAAUUCCCCCGAAAGAAGAAUGUCCGAUAUCGAAGCCAAACAUUCUAUGACGUCACCAUCACCCAAGUCAACGAACGUCAUAGCUACGUAUCAAAGUUCCCACGUUCACUCGCCAUCGUCGCAGAUAAUGAAUUCCGGUGGAAACGAGUUAAUGAACACAUCUUCAACUGAUUCGAUGUUUCCAAUGUCUCUUUUCCAAUCCAGGAACUCAUGCAAAACGCUCAAGUGUCCCAAAUGCAAUUGGCAUUAUAAGUACAGGCAAACUUUAGAGGCGCAUAUGAAAGAAAAACACCUUGAAGACACGACUGACUGUGGAUAUUGCAACUCGAACCAACCCCAUCCUCGCCUAUCGAGGGGAGAGAGUUACUCAUGUGGAUAUAAGCCGUUCAAGUGUACGGUAUGCAACUACUCGACGACAACGAAAGGCAACCUAAGCAUCCAUAUGCAGUCUGAUAAACAUCUUUACAACGCAAGAUCCCUACAGCACAGACAAGAGGGAAUUCGGCAAGGGGUCGCUACGUCAACUUAUUACGUACCAAGACCCCAGACACGUGACGAUUCACCAUCCGUAGACGAAGUUGCAAAGUUCCAGCAAGGAUCCUUAAACCGUUCGAUCUCCCCGACUCAAAACCGACAAAGUCCGUUAGCGGACUCGAAGUCAUCAAGUCAGAAUCGUCGUCGACGAUCCUCCAGUCGAUCCGGUCAAGAGAUUCAGUCAAAAUCCUCCCAUGGACGCAGGGAGUCGGGGUCCGGAAACAAGUGGAGAUGCGACGUAUGUGGGUACGAGACGAGCAUCGCACGGAAUCUUCGCAUUCAUAUGACGAGUGAGAAACAUGCACAGAAUGUGGCGCUCAUGGAGAGAGGUUUGCUGGGAAUUUCUCGAGGAGAACAAGAGAGUCGCAACGAUCGCGGAAAACCUAAUUCUGCAAUGGUCCCAUCUUCACCUAUGGGUCUCAUGGAAUAUUAUGCGGCCGCCUUCAAGAAUCUCCGCGAGCACGUGGGAGAUGCAGGUGAAGGAGCUGAUCACAUAAGGAACGCCCAAGCUGAGUAUCUUCAACAACAAUUACUCAUCUCACAGCAACAACAGUUGUUUCUUGCACAACAGUACCAGCAGGUAAUGAUGGCAGCUGCUGCAUCAAGUAUACAACAGAAGCUAGCCUCGGCGCAGUCAUCUGAAGCGGACACAAAUACUCGGCAUUCGGUACAAAAGCAAGUCGAACCAGAACCUGCACGCCAAAGUCCCAUGUGGAACCGAAUACUCAACUCGUUGGAAGAAAACAACGGAAGGAGCACCUUAUCUUUUUUAAAGGGUCGCUCCGGUGAAGUAACGUCGUCAAAGUUAUUUUCCUGCGGUUUGUGUGGAAUUUUCGGCUGCGACGACUUGAUCGAUCUCGAACGUCAUCUUAGGAAGACACGGCACUGUGACGUCAUAAACGAUGUGGGAUCCAGCGAGUGGGUAACGAGAAGUCCCCGGGAAGGGUUCGUCUGCAAGCUCUGCAAAUAUGCAACACCGCUCAAAACCAACUUCAAUCUGCACUGCAAGACCGAGAAGCACACGUCGAAACUUAACCUUAUCGCUCAUGUAAGAGAAGGCGGCAGCAUCACUGAAUGGAUGAUCCCAUAUAUUGUUUCCGGGGACAUAACACAGAGUGUUUCCUGCAACACUUGUCGCUUGGUAUCAAGCAGUCUCGAAAAAAUGAAACUUCACAUCGUUUCGGACCAACAUCAAGGAGUGCUGACUGUUUGCCAGUAUCUUGAUGCUUUGUUGAGAAGCCACAAGGAAAAAGAUUCGGGAGAAUUUAAGAUGCGUUGUUUGGCUUGCAAGGAGUUUACAACACAGCACGUGGUUGAAAUGGUGAGUCACAUGCAGUCUGUCGAGCACCAGAACCAACUCCAGAACCAUAACAACCCACCGAUGACGACACUACAUGACGUCAUCGCAGUAGAGCCACUAGACGUUUCCAUGACGGAAGCCAAUUCAAACGUGUCACGUGAUAAAGAAUUACCCAAUCACGAUCAAGCGAAGGCAGAAAACUUACAGUGUCUAUAUUGCAACUAUACAAGUAGCGACCAGGAUCGAAUGCGACUUCAUACUUUGACACAACAUAACUCACAGCCACCGAUCAAAUGUCCAAUAUGCCAGGACGUGUUGAAGGACACAGUUCAUCUUCAACUUCAUCUCGUCCAAGUUCAUGGGAAACCCCCGAAUCCGAAUAAUAAUUGUGACGUCACAGGUGAAUCAGGCGACCAAAACUCAAACAGCGCGGAUUGUUCGGAAAGAAACAACAACGUAGAUAAGGAAGCUCAGUCAGCAGAGAGAAAAGUGGACACCUCGUUGACGAUGAACGAGAAUAUGGCUGGAAUGGAAGUACAAACAUUAGACGUUAACACGAAUUCGGAAAUUACGACCGAGACAUUACCAAAAGAACCGCCCACAUCAGGAGCAUUAAAACCGCCUUAUGCUUGCAACCCAUGCGAAGUUACGUAUGUUAACGAAGCAGAUCUCUUCCGCCAUCUAGCGUCCGAAAGCCACAAAGAAACAAUCUCCCGGAACGAAAACAAAUCAGAAUCUGCUUUGAAUGAUCUCGAUCUGGUGUCAAAAUCCUGUCCGGAUUUGGUUGCUUCUGUCAGCGAACAAGUUUCACGCGGAAGACUUCAAGAUGUUAGGUCGUUAUUCGUACAAAGCAAGUCAGGAGAAGCACCUAAGCAUAAGCGCGUCCGUGUUCGUUCUUGCCCCCUCGACAGCGGUUCCAGGAGCAGAGCGUGUGAACAUCUACUCUCAAAGUAUGGGCUUGAGCAAGCGAAGCAUUACGUCGAGAACAGAAGUCCAGAGAACAGAAAUAAAGCGAAGAGUUGGCGAUUGGAGCAGAAAUGGGGAGGCUCUGUAGACGAUAGUUGUAUAAAUCAAGAGAUGUGGUUGGCCGAUUCAAACGCGAAGGAUUCUUGCGAUAACCACACGAAUGGUGGUGAUAAUUGUGAACAGCAACAAAAUACAGAUUCUCAUCCAAAACCUGAGGAAGUCUCUCCAGAAAACGACGGUGAACAGGACGCCCAGCCUUGCAGGUUUUGUGGGAAAGAGUUUACUGGCUUGUGGGUGCUAAAAGCACAUGAAGAAGUCGCUCAUGGCGUCUGCGUGCCGACCAACGCUAUACAGUCUCUCGCUGCUGCGUACACUGACCAGUUCAAGGAAAAGAAUGACCAUAAGUUGGAAAAUGGCAAUACCGAUAAUGCAGGAAUCGGCGCUGUUAUGUCGCAAAGUCCAGAGCCAAAUACCGAAACUCCAAAUACGUUUGCACUGCCAAACAACUUGGACGGUGAUGCGUUGAAAGAGACUUCCCUUCAGCAACAAUUACAACAAAGUAUGCUGGUCAAAGCGAUUUUAAACGCGCAACAAAAUGCUCAAGACCCGUCAGAAUCCAAAGCUGUGAACGAACCAAAACGGCAAAUGUUUAUGGGCGAUCAAAACAUGUUUUCAAUGAACCUCUACUCUGCUUUACUACAAGCACAAGCACAGGCAGUUGGUCUUACACCUUACCAGCUUCUGGCUAAUGCAGCUGCUGUACAACAGAUACAGCAACUCAGUUUGGCAGGCGGAGCACCAGGCUUCCAGGUACCUGAUGAAAUGUCUGGUAAAUCUCCACUUUUCAGUCAUCCAGCACAAACUGGUUUGGACUUGUUUCAAAAGCAGGAGCAGAUGAAUAAGAUGCAGGGAGCUCCUCAUUUCCCACCCCAACACCAGAACAACGCUCAUUCGAGCACCGUUGAAAUCCCGAUCAAACGACCUCGCACUCGAAUCACAGAUGAGCAGUUGAAAGUUCUUCGCGCCAACUUCGACAUAAAUAAUUCCCCGAGCGAGACACAGAUAGAUGACAUGGCAUCCCAAACUUCACUGCCACCGAAAGUUAUCAAGCAUUGGUUCCGGAACACUUUGUUCAAGGAGCGACAGCGGUCCAAGGACUCACCAUACAACUUCAGCAUCCCACCUCUGCUUAGUCUGGAGGAUGCUUAUAGGACACAACCUGAGAAGCAGGAGACCACAGCUCAAGAUUCCACAGCACCCACCCCAAAGGAUCAAGAAAACACAAGCAAAUUAAGCAGUCCGGAUAAACAGAGUUUUGAAGUGAAGACUGAGGUCCAAGACUCGCUUAUGGAAAUUACUCCUCUUCAAAUUGACGAAGGUGAACAACCUGACAGCAACGAGAAGAAGGAAAACGAAGGCCUGCUCGCACAGAAUGUAAGCACAGUGGAGGCGCAAAUGAAACAAGAACUAUCGGAGGAUGUUUUAAGGACGAUACGUGUUGGAGGAAUGGAACAAAAGCAGCUUCCCCAAGCAUUGUUCACUGAUGCCCUUUCCCUUGUGCCAUGCCUUCCUAGUGUGUUGGAUAAAUCACCCAAAGGCAACGGGCAGGAAUUUCCACAGGAUUCCAAAUCGAGUCUGCCCACCCUACAUCCAUCUUUACCAAGUUGGCCUCAAAGCUUCUCUGAGGGAUCUUCAUUCCUGGACACUUCGUACGAAACUUCUUCAUCGUCGCAUGGAUGCAGAAGAACCCCAAGAACACGAUUCACUGACUUCCAGCUGCAGGUACUGCAAGAGUUCUUCGAUAAGAACGCCUACCCAAAAGAUGAUGAUUUAGACAAGCUGUCCAAAACACUUGACCUGAGCACUCGUGUUAUUGUUGUCUGGUUCCAAAACGCUCGACAAAAAGCAAGGAAGAACUUUGAGCAGAGCCAGCAGCCACAUGUAAAUAUAUCACCAGGACAGCCAAUCCAAGCCACAUCGUACCGACCAGUAUCACCUGUUGUAGAAGAAGCGAUCGCAAAAGCUCGACUCCUGACCCAGGGUAGCAAAACUGAUUUGGACAAUUUUGUAAGGAAAUCAAUGAAUGAAGUCGGAAAAAACAUUCAACCAAAAGAUAAGCAAUCUCCAAGCUUACAAGAAUCUUUCAAAACUUCCACACGAACACCUAGCAAUGACAGCAACCCACAGAGUCAUUCUAGAACUUCAUCAAACACAGAAAACAAAGAAAAGUCAAACUUUCCAUGCCAGGUUUGUGACUUAUCCUUUGCUACAAUCCCACAGUGGCAAGCUCACCAACAAGUCCAUCUCGCUGCCAACGUCGCUUCAGUGUUCGGGCAGUACGGCUUCAUGUACAUGCAAGGAUUAAUGGGGGAUGAGCAGAAAACCGAAGACAAGAAGGUGGAAGAAAAAUCUGUCAGUGAUUCGUGGUCCAACAACACAGAUAAGUUGGGUUGGAAUGGCCAACAGCCAUGGAUGAAACAUAGUAUCGAACAGAAGUUGCCAAAUCAAGCAAGAACAAUCUCAGACGACAAGGCGAGCACUAUUCGUUCGCGAUUGGUCACUCCACCCAUGGGAGGAGCAAAGAGGAAAAUAUCAACUUCUCCCACUCUCUCUCACUCCUCCUCUUCCUCCACAAGCCCAUCCAUGGUUCAGAACAGCAUGAUGCGACAAAAAGGUGCGUAUAUGGAUGAACGGGAUUCACUGGGUAAAGACCCAAAAAGAUUGCGAACAACAAUUACUCCAGAACAAUUGGAAUAUCUUUACCAACAGUACCUUGUGGAUUCGAGUCCAAGUCGUAAAAUAAUCGAGCAAAUAUCGGAAGCUGUUGGUUUAAAAAAGAGAGUUGUACAGGUUUGGUUCCAAAACACUCGCGCCCGGGAAAGAAAAGGCCAAUUCCGUUCGUCUGUAGCAAGAUGUUCAAGCGGGCAGGUUCAGUACAAAUUCUGCCAACUUUGUAGGAUGGUGUUUCGUAGCAAGAUUGAGCUGGAUACUCACAUGCAAGUGCGACACAACGAACAUUCGUCCAAGGAUGAACCUGCGGACAAAAAAAUGCGUCUCGCUAUUGGUUCCCCCCAACUUUCUCAAUCUCCAGCCAUAAACAGAGACACGGUUCAACAAGAUUAUAGAAAAUUCGACAAUUCUCGUAGUUCUAGCGACCAAGGAAACAAAUCAAUGCACAGCAUGCAUGAAAAUGCUCCAUCACCGAUGCGCUUGCAAAACCAAACACAGAAACCAAAACAAGAAAAUAAUUUCCUGAAAGAAUCCAAUUACAAUGCUGACACAGCUCGAACAAAUCACAUCAACAGUUUGAAGCAAUUGUUUGGCGGCGCCAAUGCGAACACGCCAUCCACUCUUGAUCUGCAACAAAAGCUAGCUGCACUUUACGCAUCUAGAAAAGAAGUUUACCAAUCCAUCGACCCGAGCCCACUACUUGCUCUGCAGUUGCCAACAUCGAGCACCGAAACAAACCAGCAAAUUGUUCCACGAUCCAGCGAAAAUAUUUCAACACCACCUCCAGUUAACUCAACAUCCCAGAAAAACACAUCAAAUAUUGCUGUUUCAUCUAAAACUGGCAAUGAACAAAGCCAGGAUAAAUCUUUCCAACAGGAUAUAUCGGCUACCCACCAGACUUCUGACACUGCUGCAAUUUCUCCUCAUUCACCAACCAGCAAGCAAAAGUUCCUUGCUUAUAUGAAUGAAGGCACCUACGCGACUCCAAAGAGAUAUCGCACACAGAUGACAUCUGUACAAGUUCGAGCUCUGAAGAGUUGCUUCCGCUCGUACAAGACACCAUCCCUUACUGAGUGUGAAGUGCUGGGCAGUGAGAUUGGAUUGCCUAAGCGAGUUAUUCAAGUUUGGUUCCAAAACGCACGGGCCAAGGAAAAGAAAUACAAACUGCAGAAUCCAGAUUGCCAAGACAAAUAUUCUGACCAGAGUCAACUAACUGAAUGUCCAACAUGCUUCCCAAUCGUCCGAUUUUCGCUUGCUGCAGAAGUGAGAGAGCACGCCUUCUCACACAUCCACCUACAACAGCUGAUGAAGGGUUCCGACUCUGGAUUAAGCAAUGAACCAAGACACAGUUACAACAGCAGUCCCAGUUCUUCUCAUGGUAGUUUCGAUAACUCUUACAUGGCAGACCAGCCAAUGAGCGAUACACAACACUCUGAACAGUUUCUGUUCAAUCACGUCCAAAGCAGCGCCGCAGAACCUUCCAGUACGUCAAGUCUGACACCAAGCUCUGCUGAAUACAGCUGUGCGCAGACGAUGAGUCGGCUUUCGAGCGCCGAAAGCUUAAACGCCGCAGAUACAGCGAUGCAUGAAGCUUCAGGUUCAACAACACCAGAUAAAGAAGAAGCCGAUCAUUCCUCUGAAUACACAAAUGCUCUGAUGAGCAACCCAGCGUUGUUGCAGCAAUACCAGCAAGCUGUCCAGAAGAUGAUGACUGGCGGCAAUGAGGUUAUAAACGAUGCAGAUGCCCAAAGCAUGCACCAGGCAAGACUACAAGCUUUUCAAAGAUCGCUUUAUAAGGUAAGUAAAUCUAUAGGGUUGCGAAAACUCUAUGUUGUGUACGUUAAGUGGUUAUGUUACAUUCAUUCAUACUAUGAACAUAAGUAGUUUGAAUGUUGUUGAGAAAUAAAUGGGCCAACUUUUGCCUAAAUCCUAGGUCUUCUGGCAAGCACCUUGCCUAAAUAGAAUAGAACAAAAGAAUUGAAGGAUAGCCCAGAUUUUAAUUUAAAACUUUUCAUUAAAAUAGUUUUUUUUAUUAGAUGUUAAAUCUUCCCCACACAUCUGCAGCUGGAGGUCGAUAGAGAGUCUUCGAAUUUCCGCACAACGACUGUGUUCCCGUACUGCGUCUUUUGUUCCACUUCUAAGUUUCACCUUUGUACAAAGAAAGUAUUCACAACAGGCACAAGCUACAAUAACAUAUACAGCAAUGAAUUCUUUACAAGUUGUCCCCCUUCUUCAAGUUAAUGAAGUUUCCACAUUCUGCAUGGCAGAAAUCCCACCAAUCAACACAUCUCUUAUAUACUGCAAUAUCCCAAUAUAAUCUGCCAUUGUAUAAUAUCUGAGUAUUGCAGCGACAUAUAUUGCUUUGUAUUAUUGAUUAUACCACCAAUGUGUGCCGGUAGACAAGUAUCUGCAGUAUAGACAGGCCGAAUAGUAUCGCUUUUAUUUUCUACGCAGUAUCAUCUAUUUCUCAGUUUCUAUUUUAGUUCUGUAUUCCUCGUAAUCGGUACGAAUUUCACGCCCCAUGACUGCGAUUAAGUGUUCCGUCCAAUUAUUUCGUUGCCUUUCUCACAUUUUUUUUAAUCCUAUUUUUUCUUUGGAAUUUUCUCGUUUCGUCACCAAACAUAGUUGUUAUCGCAUCCAUCGAGAUGCAUCUGUCGCUCGUGCCUUAUUAUGACAAACUCUUCAAUUUUCUUUUACAAUUCCUCAGCAAAAUUCCAAAUGCUAAGCGUCACCGCCAACAAUACGCGAUGUCAACUUGUUUUUCAUUCAUUUCUUUGCCUUACUUUCCCAAAACCAUGUAUUUUUUUCUGCUGUACUUUGUUGCCUUCACACAGGCCAAUCUUGUAUACUCCCUGAUUCCAGUGUCUCAUGUUACGUUUGCUUCUCACCGAAGUGAAAAUAAAUGAAGUAGAUGGUUAAUAAUAAA